rnacentral:rRNA from 1 species
UACGUAGGGGGCAAGCGUUGUCCGGAUUUAUUGGGCGUAAAGAGCGUGUAGGCGGCUUGGAAGGUCAGCUGUGAAAACUCGAGGCUCAACCUCGAGACGUCGGUUGAAACCACCUGGCUAGAGUCCGGAAGAGGAGAGUGGAAUUCCCCGGUGUAGCGGUGAAAUGCGCAGAUAUCGGGGAAGAACACCCGUGGCGAAGGCGGCUCUCUGGGACGGUACUGACGCUGAGACGGCGAAAGCGUGGGGAGCGAACAGGG